rnacentral:rRNA from 1 species
CCUACGUGAGGCAGCAGUGGGGAAUAUUGGACAAUGGGCGAAAGCCUGAUCCAGCCAUGCCGCGUGUGUGAAGAAGGCCUUCGGGUUGUAAAGCACUUUCAGUGGGGAAGAAAGCCUUGGGGCUAAUACCCUCGAGGAAGGACAUCACCCACAGAAGAAGCACCGGCUAACUCCGUGCCAGCAGCCGCGGUAAUACGGAGGGUGCGAGCGUUAAUCGGAAUUACUGGGCGUAAAGCGCGCGUAGGCGGUCUGAUAAGCCGGUUGUGAAAGCCCCGGGCUCAACCUGGGAACGGCAUCCGGAACUGUCAGGCUAGAGUGCAGGAGAGGAAGAUAGAAUUCCCGGUGUAGCGGUGAAAUGCGUAGAGAUCGGGAGGAAUACCAGUGGCGAAGGCGGCCUUCUGGACUGACACUGACGCUGAGGUGCGAAAGCGUGGGUAGCAAACAGGAUUAGAUACCCCAGUAGUC